AUAUCUGCCAAACCAAAGUGCCUUUCCACAAAAACAACCAACAACUUGCAGGUUAAUAAUUAAUUCAAACAAAAGGUUCAAAUAUGAGAGUGACACCAGUUCUGUGUUUCUUUCUUUUGUUCUUCAUCGUUCUCCUGUACUCAACUCAUGGAACUACACUUGCUGCAGAAACACGUUCACAAAAGCAGCCUAAAGUGAUGCAUGGUAGGAUCAACGGGUGGAGCAAAGUAGAGAAUCAAAGAAGACAACCAGGAUUAUGGCAUGUUGUUCAACGUGCCGGAAGUGGUGGCCGGACGGUGAAUGGACCACGUCCACGGGCCGGUCGUCGGAACAGUGCAAAUUCUUUGUCAAUCAAAAGCUCGUCCUUGUUCACGGCAGGGUCCCGGCAUCUCAUCUUUGCACUGCUACUUGUUGUUUGCUUCUUCUAAAUUCCCUAUUCCGCAUUAGCCUUAAUUAAGAUCUUAGUUGGCUUGUAUCUGGAGAAGAAGCGUUUCUUUUUCUCUCCAUAAAAAUCCAUAUGUAUAAUAUCGAAUAUACUUAUGUUACCACUUUUAACUGAUACUACCUUCGCUCCUUAAUAUAAGACCCUAUUUGAUUAUUGUUUUGAUCCUAAA